rnacentral:lncRNA from 1 species
UAUGCUAAGGUCUGUCUAUAAUAUUACGAGAGUUCCUUUCCAGCAAAACUCCUUACAGCCAUUGUGAACAGUUCUGUUUCUGGAACUUUAGUUUCGCAGUUCUUUGGCAUUAGAUAAUACCUUGCUGGGAUCCAUUAACCCAGCAUAAUCAGCUCUUUUCUGCACUGUAUUUGGCUCUCAAAGCUUUUUGGCUGUCUCCAGAGAUCAAAAGUAUCAUCAAAGGGCCAAACUGGCUGCUAGAGAGACCAUGUGAAAGAAUAUGCCCAGGCUGAGAAGGCAGUUGGAAGAAAGAAAUGGGAAGUUAAGAAGGCAUUCCAAAAAUGCUGGCGACAAUGGCUGCGUGAUUGGACUAAGUAUGCAGACCCCAAAGUGGCUGCAAGGGGUGGGGUAGCUAAACUUUAUGCACACAUGCACGCGCCCGCACACACACGCACACACACACACACCCUUGUAUAAAGAUAAAUUGUUGUGAACUUCAGACUCUCUCUAUUUCCAGACCUCUAUUGCCUGUUUAUAGUUCUGUUCCCAUCCCCUCCACAUCAGCCUUCCCUCUCUUUUUCCCACUUUCCCUUUUCCCUCUACUCCUAAAUGGAUGGCGCCAGCAGGUAACAUUAGUGGCUGAGACGUGUGUUGACCAGGAUUUACAAGAAAGGCUUUGAAAAGCAGUAUUCUGAGGUCUUAAAGGGGAAGGUAUAUGAUGGAACGGAUAUAUCUUUUUAUUUCUUGCUCUUUGAAGGUACUACUUGUGGCAGAUUACAAGGAUGGUUUCAGAGGGGCCCAGAGCGAAAGAUUUCAGCAUCUGGUGAAGCCAGAUUUUUUUUUCUCUCCUCAUAGGGCCUCCAGUCUCCACCCUUCUGCAUCCAUGCAGGUUGGCACAUGUGACAAAACUGGAUAGAGUUUGUUCCUGUGCUAAGCUCUUCAUUCAGCCAUUCUGGCUAAGAGCCAGAAUGUAAAAUGAAAAACAUACCGUGUACCCUAAACUUUUCCCCUAUUUUAUAUAAGUUGGCAGUUUACGUGGCUCCAGACUUUUGGCAAAGUAUGGCCUUCCUACCUACGUUCAGGCCUGGCCAUAGGAAGCUGUGUUAAGCUGUAUGUGGGUAUCUUUUAAGAACAUUCUGAUAGUUUGCAUUGUGAGUUCAGGAGAAACUUGAAAGUAAGAUCUCCGGAGUUUUUGAAAGGCUAGGUUUUCCUUUCUUUUUUUGGAAAGCGCAUGAAAGCAGAUCUGGUGUCUCUGGCAAUUAAAGAGAUAAGCCUGGGGUGCAUUUUUGUGUUGUUUUGUUUUUUACCUUGCUGUCUCCCCAUCAGGUCUUUAUUUCUAAGUAGAAAACGGACAUUCUCUGUCAUUUAGGGGCAGAGUUAAUAAUUGCGAAAUGAAUAGAAAGUCUCCUGGUAAAACUCCAGUCUGCAUUUGGUAAUCUUCAACUUACCUGAAAGCCAUUCUGGGCAUGGUGAGGGCUGACCGGUCCCAGCCAUACUCUCCUUCAAAAAGGAGCAAGAGAAGGGGGUAAAAAGUUGCAUUUGUCAAUGUUUAUUACCUUGUGUGGAUUUUGUUUUAUUUAUUUAUUGUUUUGGCUUUUUAGGGCCCCACCCACAGCAUAUGGAGGUUCCCAGGCUAGGGUGUGAAUCGGAGCUGCAGCCGCCAGCCUGCACCAUAGCCACAGCAACACCAGAUCUGAGCCGCGUCUGUGACCUACACUGCAGUGCCCUGCAGCAGCGGAUCCUUAACCCAUUGAGCGAGGCCAAGGAUCGCACCUGCAUCCUUUUGGAUAUGAGUCAGAUUCGUUUCCGCCGAGCCACGACGGCAACUCCGAGACGACUUUUCCCUCGUGUGGAUUUUAAAGUCUAAUUACUGUCCUCACAGUGGACAUGGAUCAUUACUGCUGCGUAUCGAUCGUAUCACAAAGCGUGUCCUGUGUCCCUUCACUUAUUUAGAAACAUGGUGACCUGCUAAUUAAGGUUCCCCACCAUCUACCCUGUCCUACAUUUGUAGAUGUCACUCCGACUACCCCUUUGCAGACACCUGAUGCUUCUAAGGAAGCCACAUUCCUCACGUGGUCUGUCCAGGGCUGCUCUCAUCCUCCGGGUGCUGUUUGGUUCUGUGCCCUCAGCAGGAAGUGUGCUUUGUCCCUUCCAUUCAUUCCGAUCCUAUUUGGGGAGUUCUCUCUUGAUGCCAGCCCUUGCGCUAGGCUCUGGAGAUGCUGAAACACCAUACCCAUUUCCACACCCCCAGACUAUGCCAUUUCUUCCAAACCAAGCCGAGUGUGUCAGCAGGGUACUUCCUUUACUUUCCCAGGUGGAAGCCGCGUCCCUCCCUCCUCAAUGCAUCUAGAGCUUUUUGCCCGUGUGCAUCUAUCAUGGAAUUCACUCUGUUUCUUUGUAUUCUAUCUGGGAAUGGAACUUACCUUCCUUGGUAGAAUUUCUAGAAAGAAGAGCCUAUAGCAGAAUUCACCUUUGUAUCCUCUGUAGUGCCUAAUGCAGCCAUUUACUCGUUUAACAGGUAUUUAUUGCUUAGCUCUGUGCCACCUCCUGCUCAGGACAUUCUAUAAAUAUUGAUAUUUAUAGAGACCUUUGGGGUGCCUGAAAAAUAGAGACCUCAGAAGGACUAUCUGGUAUUAAGACUUGAGAGCAAAAGAGGCUUUAGGAGGUUGAAAAGGUGUUCCUUCUCUGGGGAUAAAUGAAUAACGCAUCCUGAGGUCUGGCUUUUGAAAUUUCAUAGGAGAAAUGUUGUGUUUCUGGCAGAAUAACUUAUUUCUAUUAGAUCUACAUCGGAACCUUUCUCUUUAUUUAAUGAUCAACCAGGUCUCUUGGGCUUGGAUAUCCUUUUGCAUCUGAAAUUCUCCUGUCAAACAAUGUCAUGUUAAAAACCGAUUUCGGAUUUUGUAAGGUUGAUCCCUGCAACUUCCAGUUCUAAAAUCUGCAGCUGACUUUUAAUUCAAAUAUGUAAGCAUAGCCUGACUGUAACCUGUGUGCCAUACUUCGUAGUUGUUUUACACAGUAACUGUAGUGGACGUUUUUGGUUUGAUCAUAAGAACAUCAAGAUGUUUUAUGUUUUUGAGUUGCUAAACAUCUGAAACCUCCAAAUCAUAUUGAUUUGUUUGCUGACUUAAUAUUGACUCUUUUCCGUUUGUGAUUACUUUAGACCCUUGC